UACGCGAAGAACCUUACCAGGUCUUGACAUACUAUGCAAAUCUAAGAGAUUAGACGUUCCCUUCGGGGACAUGGAUACAGGUGGUGCAUGGUUGUCGUCAGCUCGUGUCGUGAGAUGUUGGGUUAAGUCCCGCAACGAGCGCAACCCUUAUUAUCAGUUGCCAGCAUUAAGUUGGGCACUCUGGUGAGACUGCCGGUGACAAACCGGAGGAAGGUGGGGAUGACGUCAAAUCAUCAUGCCCCUUAUGACCUGGGCUACACACGUGCUACAAUGGAUGGUACAACGAGUUGCGAACUCGCGAGAGUAAGCUAAUCUCUUAAAGCCAUUCUCAGUUCGGAUUGUAGGCUGCAACUCGCCUACAUGAAGUCGGAAUCGCUAGUAAUCGCGGAUCAGC
rnacentral:rRNA from 1 species